GGCGGUUUGGCCGAGUGGUCUAAGGCGAUAGACUCGAAUAUCAUAACCUUGUGGUAUUGAUGUGAUCUAUUCUCUUCGGAGGCAUCGGUUCAAAUCCGAUAGCCGUCG